UACGGAGGGAGCUAGCGUUGUUCGGAAUUACUGGGCGUAAAGCGCGCGUAGGCGGCUUUGUAAGUUAGAGGUGAAAGCCCGGAGCUCAACUCCGGAACUGCCUUUAAAAACUGCAUCGCUUGAAUCCAGGAGAGGUGAGUGGAAUUCCGAGUGUAGAGGUGAAAUUCGUAGAUAUUCGGAAGAACACCAGUGGCGAAGGCGACUUACUGGACGAGUUGUU
rnacentral:rRNA from 1 species